AGUUUCUGUACUAUAUUGA
rnacentral:misc_RNA from 1 species